GACAGAGGGUGCAAACGUUGUUCGGAAUUACUGGGCGUAAAGCGCGUGUAGGCGGCUAAGUAAGUCGGGCGUGAAAUCCCACGGCUCAACCGUGGAAGUGCACUCGAAACUGCAUAGCUAGAGUCCUGGAGAGGAAGGUGGAAUGCUUGGUGUAGAGGUGAAAUUCGUAGAUAUCAAGCGGAACACCGGUGGCGAAGGCGGCCUUCUGGACAGUGACUGACGUUGAGACGCGGAAAGCGUGGGGAGCAAACAGG
rnacentral:rRNA from 1 species